UCCUGCAGGGGAAGGGGUCUGGAGGGCAGUGCCAGCCCAGCCUUGCUGGCCACAGGGGCAGUAGGGGAGGGGAGGCCAGAGGGAGGUGGUUCCUGGGGCCUGGUGAUGUCAGGCAAAGCUAGGACUCACCUGCGCUUCUCCAGCUCGUUGUGCACAGACCUGUCAAUGCCAGGGAGGAUGGGGUGAGGGGGUGUCAGCUACUACCACACCCUCAGUCCCAGGGGCUUAAAAUCCACUAUAGUUGUCUGCUCCAAACUAGCCCAAUGUGGGGAUCUUGUGCCGGCCUUGGGCACUGGAAUCCCCAGGAGAGAAAGAGACAAAUGGGGCCAAAAGCUGGGAGACCUGCCCAGGUGGUUGUGGGGUCCGAAAGAGGCCACCUACCAGCAGUCAGGAAGGGCUUCCUGGGCAGAGAUGACAGUUGAGCUGGGCCAGAAACAAGCUAUCCAAAGUGGGUAGUGGAAGGAGAGGCAUUAAAAUUGGAGGGAAUAGCAUGUGCAAAGGGCUGACACGAGAGAAGAGGAGGAAGCCUGUGGGAGAAAUCGAGUGGAGUGAGAUGUGGAGUGUGCUAGUGUGAGUGGAAGAAGGACCCUGAAGUAUCCUAUUUAUAGCUCCUGACACAACAGGGGUGCUCAAGAAAUAGUCCCUGAACGAAUAGAGGGGAGUGAGGACAUGGCAGGAGAGGUCUGAACUGCCUCCAGAGUGAGGAUCUGGCCCAGAAGAUGCAAGCAACAAGGAGGAAGUGGGCAAAGGAACUCGGCCGCCUGCAGCAGGACCUGGAUAUUGCUGGCCACAGGUUCCAUGUCGGAGACAGCUGGUGGCGGGCGGGCCUAAGGUGCUGGCCCGAAGAGCGGCUGCACCACUUUUGUUACAAUGUAACUGACACGGUGCAACAAACACAGGGGCCCCGGCCCCGCCUCCGAGACACCCCGCCCCCGGACGGCCCAGUUCUUGGCCCCGCCCCUCUGGAAAGGGACCAGGGAACCGCAGCCCACCUCCACGAGCCAGCCCGGCCCCUCAGACUCCCAGGGCUGCCACGGGCGCUUCCUCCAGGCCCAGUUUUUGAGUGAGUCCCCAGGCUGAAUGGGGCCGCAUCUUGCCCAUUAAGUUCAGCGACCCCACGCUGACUACUUGGAGUAUCAGGGCCUCAGUUUCCAGCCCGGAGUUGAUAGUGAAGACUCUGCCCUUAGAAUGGUAAUCCGGGCACCCGUGGUCUCUGGGAGGCCCCAGCUCGACUGCUGCACGUGGGCGCCACGGAGGCGGGGCC